GGCUGCAACUCGCCUACAUGAAGUCGGAAUCGCUAGUAAUCGCGGAUCAGCAUGCCGCGGUGAAUACGUUCCCGGGCCUUGUACACACCGCCCGUCACACCAUGAGAGUUUGUAACACCCAAAGCCGGUGGGGUAACCUUUUGGAGCCAGCCGUCUAAGGUGGGACAGAUGAUUGGGGUGAAGUCGUAACAAGGUACC
rnacentral:rRNA from 1 species